rnacentral:rRNA from 1 species
GAAUGCUGACAUAAGUAACGAUAAAGCGGGUGAAAAGCCCGCUCGCCGGAAGACCAAGGGUUCCUGUCCAACGUUAAUCGGGGCAGGGUGAGUCGACCCCUAAGGCGAGGCCGAAAGGCGUAGUCGAUGGGAAACGGGUUAAUAUUCCCGUACUUGGUGUUACUGCGAAGGGGGGACGGAGAAGGCUAUGUUGGCCGGGCGACGGUUGUCCCGGUUUAAGCGUGUAGGUGUGUGUUCCAGGUAAAUCCGGUUCACUUUAACACUGAGGCGUGACGACGAGGCACUACGGUGCUGAAGCAACAAAUGCCCUGCUUCCAGGAAAAGCCUCUAAGCAUCAGGUAACAUCAAAUCGUACCCCAAACCGACACAGGUGGUCAGGUAGAGAAUACCAAGGCGCUUGAGAGAACUCGGGUGAAGGAACUAGGCAAAAUGGUGCCGUAACUUCGGGAGAAGGCACGCUGACACGUAGGUGAAGUGAUUUACUCAUGGAGCUGAAGUCAGUCGAAGAUACCAGCUGGCUGCAACUGUUUAUUAAAAACACAGCACUGUGCAAACACGAAAGUGGACGUAUACGGUGUGACGCCUGCCCGGUGCCGGAAGGUUAAUUGAUGGGGUCAGCGCAAGCGAAGCUCCUGAUCGAAGCCCCGGUAAACGGCGGCCGUAACUAUAACGGUCCUAAGGUAGCGAAAUUCCUUGUCGGGUAAGUUCCGACCUGCACGAAUGGCGUAAUGAUGGCCAGGCUGUCUCCACCCGAGACUCAGUGAAAUUGAACUCGCUGUGAAGAUGCAGUGUACCCGCGGCAAGACGGAAAGACCCCGUGAACCUUUACUAUAGCUUGACACUGAACAUUGAGCCUUGAUGUGUAGGAUAGGUGGGAGGCUUUGAAGUGUGGACGCCAGUCUGCAUGGAGCCGACCUUGAAAUACCACCCUUUAAUGUUUGAUGUUCUAACGUGGACCCGUUACCCGGGUUGCGGACAGUGUCUGGUGGGUAGUUUGACUGGGGCGGUCUCCUCCUAAAGAGUAACGGAGGAGCACGAAGGUUGGCUAAUCCUGGUCGGACAUCAGGAGGUUAGUGCAAUGGCAUAAGCCAGCUUGACUGCGAGCGUGACGGCGCGAGCAGGUGCGAAAGCAGGUCAUAGUGAUCCGGUGGUUCUGAAUGGAAGGGCCAUCGCUCAACGGAUAAAAGGUACUCCGGGGAUAACAGGCUGAUACCGCCCAAGAGUUCAUAUCGACGGCGGUGUUUGGCACCUCGAUGUCGGCUCAU